CAACCAAUCGAUGUCCCCACAGCCCACGUUAAUACCAAAAAAUAAUAAUAAUUUCUCUCUGCAUUAUCUCCGUCCAUACCUUCUCUCUCUGCAGUAUCUCCGUCCUUACCUUCUCUUUUUAUUGUCCACCAUUCAUGCGGAGAUGUAGCUGCUGCAACUUACGGCCUGCCUACCUUCUCGCGGAGGUGUUGCUGCUGCUGCAACUUAUGCCGUCGGCCAGGGGAAACAGGGUGCUGUAGAGUCACUUACAGUGUCGACGAUAGCACCGGCGGAGCAGUGCGGAGAGCUAAUUGAAAUGAAGCAGGAUGGGAAAUCAUUGUUGUUAGCGGAGCUGAGUGAAUCAGUGGAGUUUUCUCGCCCAAACACGGAGUUUUCACGAGUUUCGGUCGGCAUUUUUAUUUCGGCAGCAGUGAUGUUCCAAAUUUCAAAAGAAGAAUCUUCCGUUGCUCUGUGGAUAACCCCCAACGGCAAAAAAAUGCACUCCAGCUCCAACACCAAUCGAAAUGAAGCAGGAUGGGAAAUCAUUGUUGUUAGCGGAGCUGAGUGAAUCAGUGGAGUUUUCUCGCCCAAACACGGAGUUUUCACGAGUUUCGGUUUAUUUCGGCAGCAGUGAUGUUCCAAAUUUCAAAAGAAGAAUCUUCCGUUGCUCUGUGGAUAACCCCCAACGGCAAAAAAAUGGGCCAUGGAGGAAGUGCUGGUGCGGUGGAUCGCAGGUGAUUUAAGGCCACGCUCACCAACCACGCCAUGCAAGAUUUUACGCAGAGUAAUACAAACCGCUAUUAUGUCUACGGCGGUAACCAAUUAGCACUGCUACUUAUAAGUAUUCCGCGGUGGGGCCAAAUUAUUGGUACUUGAGGCGCGAGGCAUAAUAUUUUUGGGGACAAGUUUCAAGGUUAGAAUGAAAAGAAAAGAAAAAAAUAAAGAAAAAAGGGUUGAGCUCUCAUUCACAACUUAGGUUUAUCCCGUCGGAGACAAAUCGGUGCCCUUAAAUAUAGACAAAAGGUCUGUGAUGCUGCAAGGGAGUUCUGGUUUCUACUCCUAAGCAGUUUACGAGAAUGUUUUGGAAGGAUGGCCCUAUUUUUACAUGGAAGAAGCCAGAAUUGCUUUCAAGAUCAGGAAAGACUUGUUCUAGGAGAAGUGAAGGAAGCUGGAAGGAUUUGGGUCAUCACAUUCAGCAACUGUGAGUCUGACAGCACUUGCGGUGGCUAUAAGUUUUCAGGAGGGUACUGGAGGGUCAGCAUUUGCUCUUGCUGUGGUUAUGGGAUCUGUUGAGUAGGAAAAAGCAAGCUUGUUUAUCUUCAGAGUUGCCACGAAUCUUGAAGGAGGGCUGAGAACGCGCAAGCUUGAAGUAGAAUGAACCUUCCACUUGGUCUAUGCUUUACAGCAUUUGGAGGAGAGAAACUAUUGUAGCAGCAGAUGCUAAGAAGAGGCUUGGAUCUCAAUAAAUCUAACAAUGGUGUCCAUAUUAUUACUUUUGCUAUGGUCUACGGUUUUGUCGAUGUAGAAGAAUUAGACCUUAGUUCUUUCAACUAAGUUUGUAAAAAUUAUUAGACCUCAUAUUUUUCUUUUGGAUGAUGUAAAUAUCAAUAAUGUAUAACUUGAGAAAUUUAAACAUUUGUAAUGGGGUUCAUGUAAAUUCAAUGUAAAAAUUGGUUUCUAGUUAUAAUUUGAUUUAUGAACAGUAAAUUGUGUCA